rnacentral:lncRNA from 1 species
GACCACUCAACCUUUGGGGUACUGCUUAACCCUAGGGGGACCGUAAUCAUCCCAACCGCAUAAUUCUUGAUCUAAGGAUCAAAAAAUCUUUUCUUUUUUAGAGAUAGAUAGCAUGCUACUAGCAUCGUUUAUUUUUUUUAGAAAUAAACUUAACUAAAAAUGUGAAUAAAUUAGGAUUCGAUCUUUGGACCUCAAAUACCAACCACUCAGCCCUUUGCCACUUGCGCCAGGGACGGUCAGUAAGGAUCAAAAAAUCGUAAGCAUCAAAUCCUCUAUACUUCUGAUAGCAUAAUAACUUACACACACACACACACACAUAUUAACAGGGCUACUGUGCUAUUAAGAGCGUC